GAUGAACGCUGGCGGCGUGCCUAAUACAUGCAAGUCGAGCGAACAGACGAGGAGCUUGCUCCUCUGACGUUAGCGGCGGACGGGUGAGUAACACGUGGAUAACCUACCUAUAAGACUGGGAUAACUUCGGGAAACCGGAGCUAAUACCGGAUAAUAUAUUGAACCGCGUGGUUCAAUAGUGAAAGACGGUUUUGCUGUCACUUAUAGAUGGAUCCGCGCCGCAUUAGCUAGUUGGUAAGGUAACGGCUUACCAAGGCAACGAUGCGUAGCCGACCUGAGAGGGUGAUCGGCCACACUGGAACUGAGACACGGUCCAGACUCCUACGGGAGGCAGCAGUAGGGAAUCUUCCGCAAUGGGCGAAAGCCUGACGGAGCAACGCCGCGUGAGUGAUGAAGUUCUUCGGAUCGUAAAACUCUGUUAUUAGGGAAGAACAAAUGUGUAAGUAACUAUGCACGUCUUGACGGUACCUAAUCAGAAAGCCACGGCUAACUACGUG
rnacentral:rRNA from 1 species